CACCCAUGAUGACUCGCCAUGCUAAUACCGAGGCACCGAGGGAGGGGACCACUGGCCCCGAUCUCGGGUGUCUGUGAGUUCACAUUUACUUCUCAAAGGAAGUUCUGAGGUGU